GGGUAUGCGAGGAUCGAGGCUGAUUGCCAGCCAAGAGGAGUGUCUGUUGUUCAGGACCAAGAGGAAAUGUACACUGCGGCACUUAUGGCCCACGAACUUGGACACAGCCUUGGCUGUGAGCAUGAUGGCAAGGGUAACUCUUGUCCCGUAGGAGCAGGGUAUAACAUGGAGGCUGACUAUGUUGAUGACAAUGUAAGGAAGUGGCAAUUUUCUUCAUGUUCCGUGGACUAUAUAAAGAACUACAUUCAGUACUUAACAAC